AGACACUAUAAAAAAAAAAAACACCACAAAACAAAAAACAAAACACAACAAAGUGAGUCAAAGUUAACAAUUAGCUAAUCAAUUAAUCAACAAAAAAAAAUGCUACAAAAAAAAUAAAAAUCAAAACUUUUUUUUUGUGUGUAACAAGUUGAGCUUAUUAUAUCCAAAUCGUUGCUGCGGAAAAUAGUCAUAGAGCAUUCAGAAUAUUGUAACCUGAAGCUCAAAAUCGCUAUUUCAAUUCAGAGCAUUGAGGAAACCAAAUUGAAGCAGAGAGAAAAAAUCCAGAUCUGAAAUUUCAAACUACACAAAGAUUAGGAAUCCGAAGCAAGCGAUGAAGAGAUUAAGGAAGAACACACGAAGAAGAGAGAGAUGGUACCACCUUCAGGUGUAGAAAGGAGGGAUGAAAAUCACCAAAAAAAAAUGGUAACGCUAAUUAUCUCCUUUCCUUCUUCGGUUGUGCCUCCCUCACGAUCUCCUCUCCUCUCCUCCUUUUGUUUAAACUUUUAUUUUCUCAAUACUUUUUUUUUACUUUUUGUUUGCGAUUCUCAAUACUUUUUUUUGUACAAAGAAAAUAUUUAAAAAUUUGGGCGUGGAGAGAGAGAGAGAGAGAGAGAGAGAGCUAAAAAAAGGGGAGAGAGAGUCUGUGUAGGGUGGGGUGUGAGAGAGAGAGAUGUGGCCGAGAGGCCUUUUCUUAUAUAAAUUGCAUCCCCCUUCUUCCUUCUUCUUCUUCUUCUUCCUUUCUCCAUCCUUCUCGUAGUUUCAAACCCAUAUUUUUAAAUUACUUACAUUUCCAAUUAUACCCUUUUCUUGUUAAAAGAUUGUUAACCUAACUAGGCUAAUCUAUUCAAUUUUUAUAUAUAUGUUUUCCACAUUGGUCACUCGUUAUGUAAGCACGCAAAGGCUUGAUCACUUGCUUCCGUGGAAAUUUCGUUUGGAUUUGAUUUCCUCCCUAUAUGUGAGGAUUGCUAAUCACACUAACCAAUCAACAUGUUGUUGUGGAGAAAGAGACGUAUAUCAGAUUGUAUUUAGCAGAGAAUUGUCAACUUUGGCACCGACGUUUUGUAAUAAUAGCUGAGUGGGCUGAGUUGAGUGCACAACAACAAGAACGUGAAGUCAACCGUUGGACUUAUAAAUUUGUUUCGCCUGAAACAUUAUUCUAGACUAUAUUUAAUAUUCAUAGAAAAUAAUUUUUGUAAAACAUACCUACUAACCUAAAGGAGAAAAAAGCGAUACAAAUUAAGGUAUGCAGCGUUAGUAUUAUCCAUUCAUAUGCCCUCCCUUCUUUGUCACUCUCCACAAUUGUAUAGGUUGUCCUUGGGAUUGUAGUCUCUUGAAGUAUUGACCACGGUUGCAACUGCACAUGUGCCUCCUUGAUAGGGCAUGUGUAGAGUCUAGUAAUGCGUAGCGUGUUGGAGAAUGUGAUGCUGAAUAUACAUUUGUGGACAUACUUUGUCAGUGUGCGCAUAGUUUUUGCUUUUUGA